ACUCCUGUCCUACAAUUAAUGCAUGCAUUUGCCGUAGCUAGGAAGGGUCAUCCUAAGAUAAUGGGAAUUUGUCUUGGGUUGCCACUUAGUUCCAUGUCAAGAACCAAAAAAUCAACUGAAAAGUAAAACUCAUUUACCUUGAUCAAGACAUCCUCAAGCAUUUCACGUGGUUCCUUAAUUGAUCUGUCGGCUAAUUGCAGUGUGACUGAUGUGGGUUUCAGUUCUCCGAAUUCAAAAAGUUCAUACACCAAACUAGGUAAAAGAUUCACACUUGCCCCUAAGUCUAGAAGAGCUUUUUCAAUGUGAUAAUCUCCUAUAAC
rnacentral:lncRNA from 1 species